GGAUUCCCCUAGUAACUGCGAGUGAAGCGGGAAAAGCUCAAAUUUAAAAUCUGGCAGUCUUUUUGGCUGUCCGAGUUGUAAUCUAGAGAAGUGUUACCCGCGCUGGACCGUGUACAAGUCUCCUGGAAUGGAGCGUCAUAGAGGGUGAGAAUCCCGUCUUUGACACGGACUGCCAGGGCUUUUGUGGUGCGCUCUCAAAGAGUCGAGUUGUUUGGGAAUGCAGCUCAAAAUGGGUGGUAAAUUCCAUCUAAAGCUAAAUAUUGGCGAGAGACCGAUAGCGAACAAGUACCGUGAGGGAAAGAUGAAAAGAACUUUGGAAAGAGAGUUAAACAGUACGUGAAAUUGCUGAAAGGGAAACGCUUGAAGUCAGUCGCGUUGGCUGGGAAUCAACCUUGCUUUUGCUGGGUGUACUUUCCAGUUGACGGGUCAGCAUCAGUUUUGACCGUUGGAUAAAGUCUAGAGGAAUGUGGCAUCUUCGGAUGUGUUAUAGCCUCUGGUCGCAUACAACGGUUGGGACUGAGGAACUCAGCACGCCGCAAGGCCGGGUACUUGUACCACGUUCGUGCUCAGGAUGCUGGCAUAAUGGCUUUAAUCGACCCGUCUUGAAACACGGACCAAGGAGUCUAACAUGCCUGCGAGUGUUUGGGUGGAAAACCCGAGCGCGCAAUGAAAGUGAAAGUUGAGAUCCCUGUCGUGGGGAGCAUCGACGCCCGGACCAGAAGUUUUACGGACGGACCCGCGGUAGAGCAUGUAUGUUGGGACCCGAAAGAUGGUGAACUAUGCCUGAAUAGGGUGAAGCCAGAGGAAACUCUGGUGGAGGCUCGUAGCGAUUCU
rnacentral:rRNA from 1 species